AUUGCACGAUGGCGGCAGGCCUAACACAUGCAAGUCGAACGAGUGGCGGACGGGUGAGCAAUGUGUGGGAAACUGCCCGAUGGAGGGGGAUAACUACUGGAAACGGUAGCUAAUCCCGCAUACCAUUGGAUGUGCCCAGAUGGGAUUAGCUAGUAGGUGGCGUCACGGCUCACCUAGGCGACGAUCCCGAGCUGGGCUGAGAGGGUGACCAGCAACACUGGAACGGAGACACGGUCCAGACUCCUACGGGAGGCAGCAGUGGGGAAUAUUGCACAAUGGGCGCAAGCCUGAUGCAGCCAUGCCGCGUGUAUGAAGAAGGCCUUCGGGUUGUAAAGUACUUUCAGCGAGGAGGCGUUACUCGCAGAAGAAGCACCGGCUAACUCCGUGCCAGCAGCCGCGGUAAUUC
rnacentral:rRNA from 1 species